GGUCACUGUAUAAUGAGAUUAGUGUGUGUUACCUUUGACAGUGGCAUUAUUAGUAUUAUAUUUGAUGUGAACUCCACUGUUGUAUGUAUGUUGGAAGUAGCAAAGGAGCAGUUUUGUUUGCUCUGAUCUAACUGAACCAGGUGGUUUCAUGGAGUCGAGUGAUAUUUGGAGUUGGAGGAAGUAGGAAAGGGAAAUGUUUCCAUCCUGGGGAAAUCUUCAUUUGCUAGCAGUAUGAAGUGGCAGCCUUAGGGUAUCAUUGAUGGAGGAUUAGUGCAUGUGUCUGAUCUUGCUGCAGGGAAGGAUUGUUUUUCUGCAUGUAUCUAUGGCCAUGCUGACAAGGGAACUUAUGAUUGUGGGUUCUCUAGGAGUGACGAACUGGAUGUGUGCAAUGCAGAGGUUAGAUUGUCUGAUGGUCUGCCUAUGCUACCUGAUGCGGGAAUCACUCAAAUGCUGGACUGUAACAAUGGGUCACUACUGGUGAAGCAGGCAUCGAAAAGAUUGCAGUUUUGUUGCAUUGGGGUCUACAUUUGCCGGUGAUUGUUGCUGGUUUGGGGGGGGGGGGGGGUGCGUGGUGAUGGAGAUGGGACAUUUGUGAGCCGAUUAUGGGAUUUGGUUUUGUUCUUAUGGAGAGGCUGUGUUGCAGCGUUGUAUUAACACUAGUCGUAUCGAGGAAAUGUAAGUUUAUAUUUUAUCAUGACAAGAAGGUGAACCUGUGUAAACUUGUAUAUGUAUUCAGUUUAAUAUAUUCUAAAGUUAGCCCACCA